rnacentral:tRNA from 1 species
GAGGGUAUAGCUCAGUAGUAGAGUGCAUGCUUUAACGUGCCUGAGGUCCUGGGUUCAAUCCCCAGUACCUCCU